UUUUUACUGAAAUCCACAAAGCAGUGGAGAGUGAGAUGAAACAGUGGUCUCCUGAACAAGGAAUCAGGGCAAUGGUAAAGCGGGUAAGGGAUGUCAGAGGAGUGCGGCCUUGUUACAGAGACGAUGUUGCUAAUAUAAUGAGGGAUAUGGAUGCAAGUGGUCUUCAGAGGAGAUCUCCUGGAAAGAAGAAAAUUCCC